rnacentral:rRNA from 1 species
GACGAACGCUGGCGGCGUGCUUAACACAUGCAAGUCGAACGGAAAGGCCUGCUUUCCCUUGUGGAUUGCGGGUACUCGAGUGGCGAACGGGUGAGUAACACGUGAGUGAUCUGCCCCCAACUUGGGUAUAAGCCUGGGAAACUGGGUCUAAUUCCCGAUAGGACUGCAGGGUGGUGCCUGUGGUGGAAAACGAUUUUCUAGUGGUUGGGGAUGAGCUCGCGGCCUAUCAGCUUGUUGGUGGGGUAAUGGCCUACCAAGGCGGCGACGGGUAGCCGGCCUGGGAGGGUGGACGGCCGCAUUGGGACUGGGAUACGGCCCAGACUCCUACGGGAGGCAGCAGUGGGGAAUAUUGCACAAUGGGCGGAAGCCUGAUGCAGCGACGCCGCGUGGGGGAUGACGGCCUUCGGGUUGUAAACUCCUUUCGACCGCGAGGAAGCCACCUGGUUGGAAGGGUGGUGACGGUAGUGGUAGAAGAAGCACCGGCUAACUACGUG